CUGCUGCCUUCCGUAGGAGUCUGGGCCGUGUCUCAGUCCUAGUGUGGGGGGCCUUCCUCUCAGAACCCCUACGCAUCGUCGCCACGGUGGGCCGUCACCCCGCCGUCUAGCUAAUGCGCCGCAUGCCCAUCCGCCACCGGAUCGCUCCUUUGGCCACCCGGAGGAUGCCCUCCGGUGGCGUCACGGGGUAUUAGGCCGCGUUUCCGCGGGUUAUCCCCCUGUGGCGGCCAGGUUGCAUACGUGUUACUCACCCGUGCGCCGGUCGCCGGG
rnacentral:rRNA from 1 species